ACAAGAACGUGGUGUUUGUGGACCCAUGUCAGACCUUUCUCCUGUAAAGCAAGCAUGUUGUGUAGGACAGAAGUGUCUGUGCUGCAAGGAGCAGGAAAGUUGAUCGCACCAGAGGUCACCAGGAGCUCCACUGGGAAGCUAAGCAGUGCAGUCACUCCUGAUGGAGUGCCUCAGAACACUGUAAUUAGUGAUGUCUGAGGAAAGGCAGCACUUAAUGGAAAGAAAACUUGAAAGAAGAAUAUAGCUGGACAGAUUACACUAAACAACACACAAUUAACUAAAAGUAACAGGAAACCAUAGUCAUGUCUUGGUGUGACCUUCAAAAUCUGUGUGCCACGUUUUAGCAGGUCUUCAGACACUUUAUAAAAUUAAAGCUCCUUGAACUUUAGGAUUUUUAGCAUCAGUUGUUUGUACGCAGAGAACACAGCAAACAGUGUUCCCAUCUUGUAGCCUCUUAAGCUUUAGUGCACCUGCUUGUCCAACUGAGCUGUGUUACAUGUGUCCCAGUCAUGUGUGAUGCAAUUUUUGCUGCUAGGUCUUCUUUCUAGCUGCAGUAACCUUAACUUGAACCUACUUUCUCUUCCGGCAAUAGGAAAUUUUCUUCUUGACAUCUAGCAUCUAGCUGAAGAAACGAGAAUAAUGUCAGUGUUGUGCGGCUUUCAACUCCAUUGGCUUCACAGGGAUGUGUUCUGCUCUCAGAGGGCUUAGAGUUGCUGCUGUGAGCUCUGUGUGUGUCCAGGUGAGGAUGGCCCCAGCCUGUGACUGACUUGGGGACAGCUGACAACAGCAUCUGAUAAUGUUGCAGAAGGCUCCCAGUGCAAGUGAUGAGCUCAUUUCCAUCGUAAGGAGAAAGAGCAGAACCCAGCAGGUCCCCUACAGAACUCUUUUCAAACUCACUGAAGAACUCCUUCCAACCCUGGUGCACUUUGUGUCCUGCACUGGGAGAGUUCAUGGGUUUUCCAGAAUCACUCGUUCGUGGCCUUUGAGGAAGCCAGAAAGCAAGUCGGUUCCAGUGCAUCUUCCUUCAGUGCCAUUUCCUUGGCCUCUCUUACAGUGAUGUUGACCUAAACCUUAUGGGUGAGAUGCGAGCAAACUCAAGCUGGCAGGAUGGAAGCCACUUCAGGUGUCAUGCCAGUGGUUUCAUUUGCACCACUGCAAUACCAAGAGUACUGCUUCUCUUACAGGCAGCAAAUGAGAUGGGCCUCAAGUUCAAGCCAUGUGGCAAAUAUAAAUAAACCAAAAGACAUUAUUUCUAUCUGUAUUCAAGUUAUAUAAUUUUGAACAAAGAAAUACUCUUUGUCCCUGACAUGCUGGCAGUGCUGGCAAUAAGCUGUGAUUACUGCAGUAAAUAGCACCAUCUAGGGAUCAGGAUGCUUUUCAAGUCGUCUUUCUGAACUGUGCGUGGUAAGAAUGGCUUCAGCAUCAGCUGUAAGAUGGGCACACGUUGUGCCACACCUUUUUGUAUUUACACAUGUACACAGAAACUGAAGGAAAUAUUAUAUGUGUCCCCUUCAGCAGUGCAAAGCCUAAAUGAAGAGUGCAUUUGUACUUAAAAACACAAAACUUGUAUGUAUAUGCUAUUAGGUGGGUAUGAUUCUCCUCCAGCUGCUGUUAAACUAGUUCAGCUUGUCUACUUAUGUCCAUGAAUAGAUCAAAGUUAAGGGAGAAACCUUGCACAUGCAGAUUAAAGUAACCACUGGAACUUGCCAUAUCCACCCUGUAUGAAUUUAUAUACUAAACUGAGAAGGCCUCACAAACUGCAGGUAUGAUUUCUGUGAAGCAGCUGCCCUGCAGAUCCACCUGGCUGUUGUGGAGCUAUUUGCACUGAAUCAUGGAGCUGGAAGAAAACUUGUCCACUGCUUUGUCAGAUGUUCAGAUAUCAUCUACCUGAUUCUGGGAAAUUAGGAACAGUGAAGCCGAGGUGUCUGCUUGAAUGCAAAGACUUCAUUUCUAAACUGCUCUUAAAUACUUCCUUUACAGGUGGUAAGCAAGUCCUGAUCCUGCACUAAAUGAUGCUUCAACAGACCUUCCUGCUGCUGAGUUCCAGGAUUUCCAAGGGCACAGUCAUUCAAAUAAAAGGAGGCUCUUCUGCUUUGGUUUUGUGGGGAUCAGCAGCUUGACUGUUCUCACUGCUCACCAUCUGACUGGUUGGUUACUGCCUUUAGCUCUUGGCCAUGCAAAGUAGAGAAGAUAUUUACCACUCUGCCAUGGGCAGCUGCUUCAGCUUUGUGCCACAUCCUUCAGAACCUGGAGGUGGCCCAAACAACCAGCGCUGGUGGCCAUGGUUCUCCUUCAGGCUCCUGCUAAUGGAGGUAGAACAGACACAGACGGGGAGAAGAAAACCCUCCUCAUUGAAAAACUAGGAACUGACUUCAGGCAAUAGAAGUAAAUGUAGAAACAGGCAUUGCUGUCUGCUCGUUAUCUAAAGUUCAGGACAAUGACAACACUUCGUUAUAGUUUGCCUUGGAAGUAAGGAAUAAAACUGCACACUGUAGUGCUGCUCUUAUCCAAGAGCAAGGAGCCCUGCUGAUGCAUCCUGCAGCACAGAGUUCAGUACUUGCUUUCCUGCUGCAAUAUCACAGAGAACUCUGUACCCAAAGGAAAGAACCCAAUGACCACAUUGUGAGUGCUGAGGUUUUAUGGGCUCUGUGUCCUACAACCCGGAGUGUCAGGUGUUGGAAUGCCCAAUUUUCAACCAUAUCAAAAAAACCAUUCCUGAAGUCUUUCAUUCCUCUGGUGAGAGCCCUGUUUAAAGCCAAGGAGGAGGGAUGUUGAAGACAAAAACCUCUGCACGUGAUUUUGUGAGAGGGGGAAGCUGUUGUGUGAAUGGCUGAUGCAAAGGAAAUGAAUGAGAGGAGCACUGGGAAGUUUCAGAGCUGCUGUCUGCAGCCGAGGUACCAGCGCUACAUUCCCAGCACCGCUUCUUCUGUAGGUGGGAUUGCAAACAAGAAUUGCCAAAGCAUGUCAACACGAAGCACGGCUGCUCACAGUCAGAUGUUGCACGGGGGUGUCUUCAUUACAGUGCUGUAAUAGUGGCUUCCAUUAUGGCGCUCUCCCGCAGUGCAAGCAUUCUGGAUCAGAAGAGGCCUGCCGUUCCACAUGUGCGCCAGCUGCUUCCUUCACCCACCACAGUCAGGCCUAGCACUUUUUUAUUCCUAAUGAGUUACGUGUGUGGAAAGCACAAAAAAUGAAAGGCCGGGGAAGAUUUUUAGAUUGUUUCCAGCACGGAGAAGCUGGGUAAGAUCACAGAGAAGCCCAAGAAAGUUUCUCACAGCUGCGUGCACCGAAGACUGACUCAUUUCCCCGACUGCUCGUUGUGUCGGGCUGACAACGGGGAGGUCGUUUUUGUUUCUGAGAGCACGGAAGACUUCAGUCCAGUUCUCUGCUCUCCCUUUGUUCUUGCUCUCCUGUUUGCUUGGCUCUUUAUUCUCUGAUUUCGGUUAUGGAUUUACCAUCCUUCAGAGACGCUGCCCACCUCCACCUCUCUCAUCUUAAAACCUCCCACGGUUCAGCGCUCAGACUGGCAGCCCCAGGAUGCCUGGUCAUGGCCUUGAUGCGUGUGGUAGUCAAGAAAGCUAAACUCCUAACAGAAAGCACUGCCCAGUAUGUAUUUAUCAUGCGGAGAGGUAAAGCUGUGCCUACUGGAGCCGAAGAAACAAUGGAAAUAAUGUGUAUUCAUAUGGACUGGCUCAAGCAGUGUACCCCCACCAUGACAGUACGUGUACAGCAUGCACAGGCCCUGCCUGCCUUCAGCAGCUCCGGGUGCCCUUUAGCUGUGCUCGGUGGCACACUUUCAAGGAGCACUGACUCUACGCCUUGUUUUGUACCAACAUCGCGUGUCCUUCAUCCAGCAGAGCCAUCCCAGGACAGGCGUAGAUCAAUCACACUGUCCUGACAGUGGGGCUGAUUUGUGGGCAUUGCACUCAUGUUCAAAAAUUCUCACCUGGUGGUGCUUGGAGUCUCUCAUCCCAUGCUGUAUUUGAAGCAGGGCUUGCAGAGUAGGACUCUUGCUUUGUUUUGAAAUCCUGCUCAGAAAUCCAGCUUAGAAAGAACUAGCAUGAUCAUGACAGCAAAUCUGAGCACCAAGCUGUUCCUGCCAAGCUGCACAGCAAUUUGCAGAAAGCUUGCUGACAGUAGCAAACACUUGCUGGCCUGUGCACAGGAAUUUCAGCUCUGGGCAUGCAACCAACUGAGCAUGUAAGCUUCUGUUUCUUUCUUUGAACCAUCCCUCUGCUUCAAAUAAUCUUCAGAGAAAAGGAUUCAAAACCUCCGUAUCAAAAUCCUGUAUCCAGUGGUCUUGAAAAGCCACAGAAAAAGCAAGGUCUGGCUCAAAGAGUGGGCUGUGGGGACAGAGGGGUGCUGGUGCUCACCUUGCUUGUCCCACUCAGAACAGUCAGGCCUGGGAAAGUGGCACUGAGUUGACACAGAUGAAGCGAAGCAGCGUUUGAAGGUCCCUACCCUCUAGUUAUGCCUGAGCAGUAUUUACAACAUUGAUUGCUACUGUACUGGAUAUAAGGAUGAGUUAAAGCCCUGGAGGUCACCCAAGGGGGUAGACUCUUGUUUCCUGAAAUGGUAGAGCCCAGCAGAUAGGCAAAGUGGAAGAACUUGCUCAACCUCUUAGUUAUAUAACAACAUAAAUAUAACCUAGCACUUUUCUUAGCAUCAGGUACAUGCUCUGGAAUUGGUUUCACUUAAUGUGAAGCGUCGCUCUCCAUUUCCCUUCUCAGUUUUAACAGCUGAUGUAAUCGCAGCUCUGCAAACUGCGGUUGCAUACUAAUGCAGUUGCUUCUGUAUCAAGUGAAGUACUUUGAGCUGUUCAUGAUAUCCUGCUGUAAUACUUGAGUGAGCGACCACAUAAAUGAAACCAACUUGUGGAGGCAGACCACCUGUUUGGUGGUGUCACGAAAGGAACUAAUGAUAAGACAGUGCUGGAGAAGGGAUCUUCAUUUAUGAUGAACGAUACUUUAGUUAUUAAGACUGUGGGUCUCUAUUUCAGGUAUGGAAAUGGCUGCAGUAAGGACCCACUGCCAGAAUUUUCAUACGGGAUACGAAAGAAAAGUUCCACUGUAAAGAGAAACUCAGCAGACAGUGAGAGGCAGCAAGGAAGAAAAGUAUUCAGUAGUUUGCAGGAUCACCAACCACUGUAAAGAGCACACGUCAGGUGUUUGAGCCAGCAUUCCAGCUACAGCUGCACAGCUGGGGGUACCUGGCUUCACUGAACACGCUCACCUGUGUCCCGACUGGCUCAGAUCAGCCCCACCAAGCUCUGGGGCUGCUCCUGCCUCUGUUUCACUCCGCGUGGCGACUGAGCUACUUUACACAAACAGAGAUCUGAUCAGUACUGACCAUGAUGGAGAAUUACAGCGGUUUUACCCGCUGAGGUCCUGGCUGGAGCGCUUAGAGGGCUGCAGUGUCCUUUGCAGUGUUCUUGCGUGCCUGCCCACCAGGCUGUACCCAGUUAGCUCUGGCAGGGUGCUCAGCAGGUGGCUUUGGAGAUAAAUGAGGUAUCACAGACUCGGUGGUAUGAAGCUGCAUUCAGAUGGCUUGCACCUGAGAACAGCUGCUUAAUUAAAGCAAUAUCAUAGGAAAACAAACAAACAAACAAACAAAAAACCAGAUCAGAUGUAGGAAGGAGAUGAAGGGUUUCGUUCUGCCUCACCUCAGGAGUCGGUCUUACUAAAAUACUGCUCUUUUUCUGACUUUUGCUUGCGUCCUAUGAGAAGCCCUGCCUGCUGCCUGGCCUCCCCCUGCACCGAGCCCAGCAGAGUUAAGUGAGGUGGAGGCAGCAGACGUGACAGCAGGGGAAUGAACUGAUGCCUGUGGGUUUGCCACACGGUAUUACAGUUAUCUCCUUAAGCUGCGAGGCAGAAAUCUUGCUGCAUAAUGGGAAAGUAAGCUUAGCUGGUGGGAGUUACGUGUUCAUCUCUGAAACACCUGCAUGUCUGAGUGAUGCUUUCAGGAGAGCUGGUCAGAAGAAUAGUUCUCCUGUAAGAAAUACCACAAAAAGUCCAUCUGUGUUAUUCUGUACAGAACGCUGAUCUUUCGGGGCGGGGAAGGAAGAGAAAUUGCUAUGCCUCAUUGUAAAUGGUCAGCGGAACAGUGAAGACCUCUGCUUGGAAGCAUAGGAUAGGUCCUCAGGAGAGCUCUGAAUAUCAUCCACCUCAUCUAGCCCGUGUAUAAAUUGGGUGCUUUCAGUGAUCAAAGCCUGCUUUUACCUGCGAUAAGAUCCCAAUUCAGACGCACUAGCUGCUGCUCAUACCCGUGGUGUACCCAGCCCAACAGGUUAACAGCGCAUCCCAGUGCAGGGUGGGAGACCUCCCUCCAUGGGAACUGCCUCGCUGUGUCUCCUUCACUUGGGUGUGCAGGGCUUUGAAUAAACCCACAGUCAGUCGUACCUCCCAGCUCACGUUGCCGAAUGGCCUUUAACAGAAGCAAUCAAAUGCAGCCCUGAGCUCCUCCUUUUCCCCAAGACUCACUAAAAUACAGUGUAGUGCGCAGCACCUGGAGGUGAUUCCGUGCACAAAGGGCUAUACUGAUGCCUCUGCAAAAUAUCACAUUGGGGUCACUUCUGAAACAUGUGGUCAAACCUCAGCUGACAGGCGAAGGAGACGGUUUUGUUUCCAGCUCAGGCAUUUCCUUUACUUGACAUGGAACUUUGAGAGAGCCUUCCUUAGCACUCAACCAGGCUGCAAGCUGACACAUGGAUUCACUAGUGUUCUGCUUACAGUGGUUCAGAGUUUGGCCUGUUUUCUUUCACCAUGUGCAGACAAAUCCACCUCCCCCCAGAAUGCUCACAGGCUUUGAUUUUUACAGAAACGCUGGCCUAUCCUGUGACACAAGACCUUGAAGAUGCAUGUGCGUGCCAUUCAACUGAGCUGUUUCCAUGCCUCAAGUAGAGCACAUUGACUGCUUGGGCCAGGCUAUUGACAGAGCUGGAAUAAGCAAGUAUUUCUGGAUUUAUUUUUUGUGCUGAGGACAAAGCAAACAUCAGAAAUGUUUGUUCAACUAAGCUGACAUACACCCACCCCAGAAACUAUUUGCAUUUUGCCUGGGUUGAAUUUAUUUCAGGCUUUCCUAUUGCACUCACAGAAGGACGACACAUCCCAGUCUGAAUGCUCAUAGGCAAAUAGCUUUAACAGCAAUUAGUUCCACUGAUAGGUUAUCUGCACAGCUGCCAGAGAUAUUGAUGAGGGGGAAAAAAAAAAAGCUGUUUGGAAUAGUGACGUCUGAAACAACUGGUUUUAAAACAGGUAGAAAUACAGCUAUUGAUUGAUGGAAGGGGAUUAUUUUGGCCUCUAACGCACAGUUUUGCUUUCUUAGCUCAGCGAGACAAUGGUGAAGUUUUCAGGAAGGAAAAAAAGAAAAGCAGCAGGAGGUGAUUGAAUAUGUUUUGGAGAAAACUACGGAGUAUGGGAAGCCAAAGUUGUUUCCCCUAUUACUUCUCAACCAUCCAAAUCUGAUACUGAAAACACCGCUGAUAUUGGGGUCAGAGGUGCCAUUGUUCAGAACCUGCCUGGGAAGGCCAUACACAGUGGGAAGAGGGGUGUAACUGCUUUGCUGGGACGAGGAGAUGUGCAGGAGAGCUCUGCAGGCUGAGGAACUUGGAAAUGAAAAGUGACUUGUGCUGCUGGUAAACGACUGAGAAAUCAGCACCGGGGUUUGUUCCAGAAUCAAGCCUACAGCCACGUGCCAGUCAGAGGGGCUUCACCUGUAUGCCUUUUCUUUGGGCCUCUGAUGAUCUGCCUUCAUUCAUGCCUACACGGAGGGGUGGCAUGGAUGGCACGCGGCAUUGCGUGGAACCUCCACAUCAGGAGGAAUUCCAGUGAGAUGGCUUACUUUGGUCUUUUCAGAGUGGCUAAAGAACAAAUGCCUGCCUCUAUUCUCCCUUUGUCAGCCGGUCAUGGCAAGAACAAACAAAUUCACUGUCUAUAUGAUACUGUCCUAUGAUUCAGUCCGUGUAUGGAGCGUACCAGCUACCAUGCAUGGCCUGAUAGGCGUGGUGGUUACGCUCCACCUGCUGAACCAGGCAGCUGCGGGGAGAUGUUAACAGACUUACACACUGAUGAUGCUCUUAUCGAUAGGAAGAAAACGCUGCGGGAACGCUGCUGCUCUGAGGGCAGCGAGGGGAGGUGCUGGUGGGGCAGCUGCAGGCCUGGCGGGAUUUCCCGUGCACGCCGCUAUUCCCGGUUUCUGCAGUGCGCUCCCAGGAGGCGCUCCGUAGGAAGGAGUGGGGACGGGGGGACGCGGGGAGCAGCCGGGCCGGGCUCCGCCGCGGCGCCGCUCCGCCAU